rfam:Dipodomys ordii contig_8601, whole genome shotgun sequence.
GGAAAUGUGGCUUAGUGGUAGAGUGCUUGCCUAGCAGGCAUGAAACCCUGGGUUCGAUUCCUCAGUACCA